CCCCUGUUAGGAUGUUGGCACUUUCCCCUUCUGGCCCGUUUUUCUACGCUUAUGUAAAUGUUCACCUCUUCUACAGCACCUCCACCUCGCAUGUCACAGCUGACGGCACAUACCAGUUACUUCUGAUAGAGGCAUAUGGGGGAGGUACCCCCAAUGAACAAUGUACCUUGUACAAUUAAUUGCAGGGUCUCUGCAAGGUGAGGAGUAAGGUGCAAAACAGAGGCUGCAUCUCCCCUAAUGAUGCCUCUCACCACAUAUGACCUAUGAAUUACUCUCAAAAACAGAGAAUUUUGGUCCACAGCCAGGGAGGAAGCACUUGGAGCACGUUCUCUCCCUAGAUCUAUUUAUUUGUCCUGUGACUGGGUGAGGGAAGGGGCGUGGGAGGGGUCACAUACCAAAUAACCCACAGGUGCAGGCAGGUAAAUCAAAUGAAUGAAGCCAGUGAGGGGAGGCUGGGGUGAGCUGAAGAGCCCUGCCCCAUCCCAAGAGGACAGCUGUAGCCCUGCUGAGGCAAGCUGCUCUCAUGGGAGAAUGCGGGCUUGGUUUUGCUGGACCUUCCAAUUUUCUUCAAAAGAAACGGAAAUCUCAGUGUUUAUACAAAACUGCCCGAUUUUAAAGUGUUAGUUUAAUUUUUUAAAUGCAUCAUGUGGCCUAACAAAACAUCAUAAACGAGGGUAAAACCCAACCCGUAGACUGGUUUGCUAUCUUUUUAAGUCAUAAGAUCUAGCCCUUGGAUUCUUUUAAUAUUAAACAUGGAAUUGGCUGCUAUCUGCCCCUUGGGGUUAUUUAAGAGCAUAGAAGGGGUUUUUAUUAUCAUGUAACAAAAUAGUCCAAGCAUAUUCAGAUGCACAAGGCGGGGUAAUGUGAUCCCUUGGGUUUACGUAAACGUUAAUACCAUGGGGCUUCAUGUUUUGUGGAAUUAUUUGAAAUGUAUAAUUACACGUUAGCCUCUAAAUAAACAAAAGUGGUAAUUGUAAUAGCCUUAGAGGAUGAAGGUGUGACCAACUGAAUCCAGUGGUGGGGUGGAAGCCUGAGUGGAAAGGCUUGGACUUUUUUUUAACACACACUGUGUAGAGACAGGUGGUGUAGACAACCCCCUCAAGAAGCACUGCAAGAAAGGGCAGCAGAGCAGUGAGGUGGCUGCUACAUGAGAACAGGAGGUGAACACAGUGUAUCCUUUUUUUUUUUUAAACAUUUUAUUUAUUUAUUAGAGACACAGAGAGAAAGAGGGACAGAGACACAGGUAGAGGGAGAAGUAGGCUCCGUGCGGGGAGCCCGAUGUGGGACUCAAUCCUAGAUCUCCAGGAUCACGCCCUGGGCUGAAGGCGGCGCUAAACGCUAAGCCACGGGGGCUGCCCACAGUGUAUCUUAAAAAUGGAUGAAAUCACAAAUGUCUAUGUGGUGAUGGAAGGAGCAUGAUGCUACUGUAAACAAACCAACCAACCAAACACCCAAGUACCAAGUAAAGGAAUUAUGUCAGCAAAAUACUAGACAGUAUUGGGUGCAGUAAAAAUUUUAUUAGUAAGAGUUAAGAAGCCAAGAUCUAGUUAUACAGGUUUGCCUAAACAAGAAGUCAAAAAAAAAAAAAAAAA
rnacentral:lncRNA from 1 species